GGCCUGGUGGUCUAGUAGUAUGAUUCCUUCUUAGGGUAGUCACGUGAUGCUUUUGAGUGGUCACGUGGUCGACAUGGAGGAGGCCCCGGGUUCAAUUCCCGGCCAGGCCC